CACAACAGAGGCAGAACAGGGCACGCUCCAUUCGUUUAGGCCAUUGCGAAGAUGUUUUCUUCACGAAACGUUGUUUGCUCGAAGAAGCCGUGGCUCCUCCCUGACACGCCGCACACUUUAAGCCUCGGAUGUGUGACUAGGCCAUGUUGAUGGUUCAUUACUCAACAUAAAUUCAGCAGUGCACGAAAUGAAGUGAAAGGCAUUUACUUUGAAGCAACGCGUCGACGGGCCGAUGUGCGAGAGCUUACUUCUUUUCUUCUUCUGAUGAAGACUUCCAUCAAACUCAACUCAACACUACUUCUUCCAUGAAACAAAGAAGGGGCGCAUGGAUGUGUCCUGACGUCCAAUGAAGCUGUAACUGACAAGAUUGCGAUAAGGGUGGAUUAGCAAGAUGAGAGCUGCCAAGUCGAAUCAACUUCCUGGGAUGCAUCAUGCAGGUUUGGAGAGAGGGAUUAGGGACUCAGUCGCCCUUUAAGGUGGAUCAGCGUAAGCCCAAGCCCUAUUCAGUCCAAUUUGGACUAAUGACCAAAGAAUCCUUUUACAUUGCGUGAUUUUUGUUUUUUGUUCGAAAGCGCACUCCACCACCAUAAUCAAAACACCACUUGAGGGAAUAUAUUUUGGAAGAAUCCUGUUCAUCACUCCAGUACAGAUCUAG
ensembl:lncRNA